UGGAAGCGUUCCACAAGACCGUUACACGC
rnacentral:sRNA from 1 species